rnacentral:lncRNA from 1 species
AUCCGUAUAUAAUAAUUUCAUUACAUACGGAUUUUAUAUACAGAUUAGUUACAUACGGAUUUUCCGUAUAUAAUAAGAAAAAAAAAUUAUAUACGGAUUUUCCGUACAUAAGAUCCGUAUGUAUGGUGGUGCCUUUUGAUGAGAGUUUUCCUAAGGAUGAAUUCGUAUAUAAUAUUUGUAUCUGACUGAAUUCCUCUCUACCCAAUUGUAAAAUAAUUAAUAAAAAAGAUUAAAAAAAUUAAGCCCUAAUAGAAGCAAAAACAAAGUUGGAAAGUUGUCCUUGAGCCCUUCUUCCCUCUUGUUGCUCCCUCUCGACCAUUGUUCUCCAGUUUCUUCUCUGGCGUUCGCUGUCAUGGAGUCGUGUUCUCAUUGAGCCAUUCUUCUCGUGCUUUUUUCCCUCCAUCAUCUGUAACCAUCAUCUUCGUUCAUCGAACAAUCAUCUUCGUGGCUCAAACCCUAGGAGUCCCUGCCUCCAAUCGUCGUCUUCAAGUUGUGGCCUCCUUGUUGUGGUACCCGUGUUCUCCAUCUCGAACGUGCUUUAUGCAGAUUCUGGAUUUUCUUCAUCUCGUAUGGCUUUUUUUUUUCCACUUUCUAUUAUUCUCGCAUGAUUAUUUGUGCAAGCAUAUUGGGCGAAGGUACCUUANGGGUUUUUAUCUUCUUCGUUUACUGAUAUUCUCGGUGUGAAAAUCUAUGUGAUUCUUGAAAUCUGAAUUAAGCUAUUAUUAUUAGCGGUGGUGGUUGAGUAAGUAAAUGUAAGUUUCUUUGAAACAUGCAAAUACGAAUAUGUUUAUAAUGUGGUUUUGCUUUGGUUUUUUGGUAGGUUACAGAUGAUUUGCGUUUAAUUUCGGCUUAUGUAGAUUUUGCACUGCUGUCGACAUGAAGGAGAAGAAGAAUAUUGCUUCUACUCUCAAGCGUAUUUUAGUGAAUUGUGCAUCCGAGGUUUGAUUUUGUUUUACAUAGAUCAAGCUAGAAAUGUGCUUUUGGUUUUGGGUUAGAUGAUGCAAUAUUGUGUGCAGAACCUUUUCGUUACAUCCUUUAGGUGGUUUGACUCCUAUAUAGAAUAAUUUAUAUAAUUUGUUUGUACCUUAGGUAAAUGGUUUGCUUGAUUUUAUUUUUCCAAUUGCAAGAAGUACCGAGUUUAGUUUAUCAGUUUGAUAAACGCUUUAAAAGCGCGAUUAUCAUUGAGGUUAGGUAGUUAGGAAAGAGAUAGACUGGGUUGUAUUAUAGGUGCUUCCCUACUCUCUUCUUGUCUUUUCCGUACUANCUUCUGAUGGUUGGACACAGACACAAACAUUGAUUUGGUUAAGACCUCAUCUAAUAGGCAAAAGCAUAUGGGAGCUGUGUUG